CCGUUCUUACCGAGGCAAUA
rnacentral:miRNA from 1 species